AUUGAACGCUAGCGGCAGGCUUAAUACAUGCAAGUCGAGGGGCAGCAGUUUUGUAGCAAUACAGAAGCUGGCGACCGGCAAACGGGUGCGGAACAUGUACGCAACCUUCCUUUAACUGGAAGAUAGCCCACCGAAAGGUGGAUUAAUACUCCAUAACAUAUUGAAGAGGCAUCUUUUUGAUAUUAAAGCUCCGGCGGUUAAAGAUGGGCGUGCGUCUGAUUAGGUAGUUGGCGGGGUAACGGCCCACCAAGCCUUCGAUCAGUAGCUGAUGUGAGGGCGUGAUCAGCCACACGGGCACUGAGACACGGGCCCGACUCCGACGGGAGGCAGCAGUAAGGAAUAUUGGUCAAUGGACGCAAGUCUGAACCAGCCAUGCCGCGUGGAGGAUGAAGGCCCUCUGGGUUGUAAACUUCUUUUCUUUGGGACGAAACCCCUGUCUCUACGGGGACUGACGGUACCAGAGGAAUAAGCACCGGCUAACUCCGUGCCAGCAGCCGCCGUAAAAC
rnacentral:rRNA from 1 species